AGGUAGCGUUUGCCCUGAACACCAGAACAUAGGCUUGGUAGCGGCCAUCGUGUUUGGAAAGCGUAAAAGCUCACUGGUUUAGCAACACGCCGCUUACACAUGUUCGGUACUAUAAAUUGCCGAAGCUCACCUAUAACAUC
rnacentral:rRNA from 1 species